rnacentral:lncRNA from 1 species
GUAUUUUGUGGAAAUACUUCAUAGAAUUGAAUUAAAUCCGUAACACUUUUCAACUUUGUUUUCUCCUUAGCUGUCACAGACAACUCUGAGCAAGGUGCCCUUAAUGAACCGACAUCAUGGAACGGGGAUUGCUGAAUUAUCCUGAAAAAAUUCAGAGUAUUGAGUUGCAACUGUAAAGAAAUCUAAUUUCAUCUGUAAUAAAGCACCUGAUGGGCAGUGAUCCCUGGCAAACAAUAUUUCAGCUUAAUGCUACGCAUUGAAAAAACAUCAUCGAAAAAUAAAGAUGCCAAGAAAAAUCAUCCGCGUUGUGGAGGGCAGGGAGGCAGCGGCGAGGGAGGAAGGGCUGAGCCGCGCUGUCCUCGCGAGCGAACGCUGAGCUCGCUGCCAAACCCGGCGUUUCUGAGCUGCGAGGAGCCCGGGCACUGAGCUAAGAGCACCAAAAUCACUCCUACAGCCCCUGCCAUGGGUGUGAUGUGUCCUCCUCCCAUCCUC